rnacentral:lncRNA from 1 species
AAUUUAGACACGACGACUUAGUAGAUUCUUAAAAAUUAGAACAUGAACACAAUGUAAUACUGCUAACAAAAUAUAAUAUUAGCAAUAUUAUAAUAAUAUAUAUUUAUUAUAUAUAAAAUAUUAAUUUUGCUAAAAUAUCGUUAUAUUUUUAUAGGAAUGAUAGUUUUUUUUUUUUUAGAGAAUAGAUAGCACGCUACCUGCUUCAUUCAUUGAAUGGAUGAAUUAGGCUUCAUAGAAAUGAUAGUUAAUAAAAUUGUUGUUAAUAGUUUAUAUAUUUUUAGUAUGAAAAUUUUUCACCACCAUUCAUAAUUUAUUUAUAUUGUCUAAAAAAAUUUCGUAUACAUUCAUUAAAAGCCAAAAUAUGAUAUUUGUAUAAAAAAAUAAAAUAAAAAAUAUUUUUUGAUGGGUUGCAACAUGGACUCAUACCAAGCACAUGACCAUAGCAUAUCUGCGAACACAAGUCUGACACAAACAUACGCGCAAACACGCAAGAUUUAAAAAAGUGUCUGUAAUGCAUAGUUUUAUACUUUUAUGUGAUGAUUUUGAAGAAAC